GAGCGCCGUAGCAAUACGGAGCGGCAGACGGGAGGGUAACACGUGGGAACGUGCCCUUCAGUUCGGAACAACCUAGGGAAACUUGGGCUAAUACCGGAUACGUCCGUAAGGAGAAAGAUUUAUCGCUGAAGGAUCGGCCCGCGUCUGAUUAGCUAGUUGGUGAGGUAAUGGCUCACCAAGGCGACGAUCAGUAGCUGGUCUGAGAGGAUGAUCAGCCUCGCUGGGACUGAGACACGGCCCAGACUCCUACGGGAGGCAGCAGUGGGGAAUAUUGGACAAUGGGCGCAAGCCUGAUCCAGCCAUGCCGCGUGGGUGAUGAAGGCCCUAGGGUUGUAAAGCCCUUUCGGCGGGGAAGAUAAUGACGGUACCCGCAGAAGAAGCCCCGGCUAACUUCGUG
rnacentral:rRNA from 1 species